AAUCUGGCACAAGGGGGGAAACCCUGAUGCAGCGACGCCGCGUGAGCGAUGAAGCNCUNNGGGGUNUNAAGCUCUUUCGGCAGNNNNNAUAAUGACGGUCCCUGCAGAAGAAGCUGCUGCUAACUACGUGCCAGCAGCCGCGGUAAUACGUAGGCAGCGAGCGUUGUUCGGAAUUACUGGGCGUAAAGAGUGCGUAGGCGGUGCUCUAAGUUUGGUGUGAAAUCUCCCGGCUCAACUGGGAGGGUGCGCCGAAGACUGGAGUGCUUGAGUGUGGGAGAGGAAAGCGGAAUUCCUGGUGUAGCGGUGAAAUGCGUAGAUAUCAGGAGGAACACCGGUGGUGUAGACGGCUUUCUGGACCACUACUGACGCUGAGGCGCGAAAGCGUGGGGAGCAAACAGG
rnacentral:rRNA from 1 species